AUGGAGGGACAAAAGCAGCCCCACACUCCUAGGGGUGCUGAUGGCUUGCUGGGGACAGUCUCAGCGCAGGUUGGGAAGUUUGUGACAAGGAGACUAGGGUCACAAAGGAAGCAGGAGCUGGAGCUUUGGGCAAAGGAGAGGGGGCAGAAACCGUGGAAUGCAGAGGGGCCCCCUGUGGGCAGAGAAGAGCCCUGCCACAUGGAUGUGCAGCCCUGGAAGGAGAACUGGACCACUUUGAGCAUGGAGGAGGCUGAGUCAGGAGCCAUGGUGCAGGGCAGGGGGGUUCUGCCAGGCCCAGAGUGGCUUCACUGGGAGCUGGGGCUGCAGCUGGGGCUGCAGCAGAGUGGCUGUGUGGAGCUGGCCAUGAUGCUGCGGGCUGGGAGGCCAAGCCUGGUGUCACUGGAAGGCCUCAGGCACCAGGCUGUUACCCAGCACAUGCGCCCUGGGCUGUGCAGCACAGGUGCUACCAAAGGAGCUGGGCCAGCAGAGCAGCCCCUGGCACUGCAAAGAGUCAGCUCRCACAUGGGCCCACUGUGGGGCUCCUGCCCAGGCCCCAUGGGCACAGCAGCAGAGCUAGACUGCAGCGCACACCCACUGCCAGGAGCCAGCAAGGAUGCCUCGAUGGAUGUGGUGCUCCAGAGGCAAUUUACCCUGGCCUGGCUCCUCCAGCUCCUGCUGCAGAUGAUCUUUCAGAGCCAGCAUCUCCAAGGGCAGCACAUCCCACCCAGGUCCAGGGAAGGCCACAUACAUGCCUGCCUCUGCCUGAAGCUGCUCCACCAGUUGAUGUGGGUGCUGGCGCCUGGGGCUGGAUGCUGGGGGGCUUGGAGCUGGCCCUGCAGCUGGUGGGAUGGGAGCAGACAGGGCAGCUGCUGGAAGCUGCACUGCACCACAGACUACUCAGGGCUGCUGUGGGCCAGGCAGCCCCCAGUCCCCAGGUCCUGCCACAGGAGAGCAGCUCUCUGCGCAACCCAGAGCUCCCCAGCCCAGCUGCAGAGAUGGGUAGGAGAAGCAGGGCUCAGAAAAGAGCUGCAUUUCUCCCUCUUGACCUGUUGCAUGGCAUGUUGUUCUGGCACAGACUGCUAA
rnacentral:lncRNA from 1 species